ensembl:lncRNA
GAUCUACAAGUACGAGCAAUGAGAAUUUGAGACACAACACUAUAGUGGUUUCAUUUCAAGAGAAAAUAUGGCAGGUGACCUUGGUCUUGGAGUAAUAAGAGGUUUCAACUGUGCAGUGCCUAAAUGCGUUGGUCUGAAGUGUUUGCAAACAAGCUAUAUCUACUGAAGCGACCAGAAGAAAGCAGGCAACAAUGAUGAAUGUUAAAAACAGAUUAUUCACACAUGCUGGCCCUCAGACAGUGAGACAAACCUCUCUAAGUGCCUUCAACAGACCACAGAGAUUGACAAGCUCCUCCAAAGACCGCUUCAGAACCAGAACACAACUCCUAUCCACAGCUGCCAUCAUUAGGUUUCAGAAUGAAUGAUGAAUGGGAAAGGACGGAAGCAAUCCCUCCUACUGUUUGAAAGGCAGGAAAAUGUUUCUGCUCUGUAUCUCACAUGAGAGACCAUGCCAAGAAUGUUCAGCACCCCAGGAAGGUUGGUACUAAAGUCCAACACUUGAGCGCAACCUCCUUCCUUCUCCUUCCUUUGAUAUUCCACGUGGUCUGCCUCAGCCUUUGGCCUAAGCACUCCCGCUCUCAGGCAGGUCAUGGACUUAUCCAUGCCUUCACUUCACUGAGUCACAGAGGAAACAGCUACUGAUGGCAUGCAUCAGCUUUGCAAAGAGCAUGCAAGAAGUCACAGGAACUUCCACUCUGCCCUAUACCCCAGCAUAAGAAUCUAUUACUUGCUGACUCGUAAACCUCAUAAAGGUUUAAAGUGUUUCUUUUUAAAGCAAACUCUUUAGGCAAGACUUUGAGCUCUUCUCCUUCCACUGUUUCGAAGCCAUUUUGUUCAGCAAGCUGCAGACCCAAAGCCCAGGGAGCUGAUUGCUGCCCUGCUAAACAAUCAUUUCAUUUGGGGCUGGGGCAUUUCAGGGAAGGGACCCACCGCCCAGGAGAAGUCACUCUAAGAGAAAAUGCUUACUUGGUGGCCCUGAACUCCAAAGCCCUGGCUUUCCCCAGAGAAGAUGCUUACAAAAAUAGCCCCAAGAAUAAACCUAAAAUGUGACCCAAGAAGAGCGACAGGAGUGAGGCACACAUCCACCAGCACCGA